rnacentral:snRNA from 1 species
GUGCUUGCUUCAGCAGCACAUAUACUAAAACUAGAAUAAUACAGAGAAGAUUAGCAUGGCCCCUGUGCAAGAAUGACACACAAAUUCGUGAAGUGUUCAAUAUUUUU